UACGAAGGGGGCUAGCGUUGUUCGGAAUUACUGGGCGUAAAGAGUGUGUAGGCGGUGCUCCCAGUCUGUUGUGAAAUCUCCCGGCUUAACUGGGAGGGUGCAGCGGAAACUAGAGUGCUAGAGGGUGGGAGAGGUAAGCGGAAUUCCUGGUGUAGCGGUGAAAUGCGUAGAUAUCAGGAGGAACACCGGUGGCGAAGGCGGGUCUCUGGGCCGAUACUGACGCUGAGGAGCGAAAGCGUGGGGAGCGAACAGG
rnacentral:rRNA from 1 species